UUGGUUUAACAGAAUAUACUUAAAAAUAAAAGAAUAUUCUGUUAAAUUUAACGAUUAGGUUUGAUCUCCCGUUAACAAAUAAACCCAAUAAUUAAACCCAAAAAAUUAAACAAUCUUUUUUUAAAUUAAAAAAAAUCAUCUUAGCCACAUAUCUCUCUAACAAACCCUAUAUUCCCAAAUUAUCAAAUCCAAUUCUCUCGCUUUGGUUUACGGUCAACCAAACGCAGCUAUGGCUUUACACUCCGUAAGUCUUUUUUCUUCUUCGUAGUCUUCUUUUUCAUUCAUUGAUUUUUGUUACAAAUUUUAAAUAUUGUUUGUGGACACUUGCAGUACGCCUACUUCUCUAUCAAUGGCCAUUCCACCAGAACUCGCUGGUGCCAUACCCUUAAUCGAUAAAUUUAGGUCACAACUAACAUAAAUUUACCAAAUUUACUAUCUUCACACCACUGUUAGGGGAUUACCUCCUCACACUACUUCGCUUUGCUCAUCUUCUCGAUUAAGUGGUUAAUUAUAACUCUUAGUGGUAACAACUCUUAGUGAGGAGAAAACUGCCAAACAAGGGCCUCCCAAGGAGGAAGAGAAGAAGAAAGAUGAGGAGAGGCAAAAACAGAGGUGAAAACUGUUGAUUAAGAGGCUUCGAAGGUUGAAACAGAGAAAGAGAAAGAGAAGGUUGUAGUUGUGGUGACCGAGGUUGCUUCUGUGGAUGACGAUGGCGCUAAGACUGUGGAAGCAAUCGAAGAAUCCGUCGUAUCCGUAACCCCUGCCCCAGUCGACGAGGCAAGCUCAUCAGCAAAAACAGAGACGGAGGAACCGAAGAAGGAAGAAGAAAAGGAAGAACAAUAAGUGUGUGUCCCACCGGAGGAGGUUUCGAUCUGGGGAAUUCCCCUUCUCGCCGAUGACAGGAGUGACGUGACCCUCUUGAAAUUCCUGAAUGCUAGAGAUUACAAAGUUAAGGAGGCUUUCACCAUGUUGAAGAACACCGUCAAGUGGCGCAAGGAGAACGGAAUCGAUUACCUUAUUGAGGAAGAUCUUGGUUCUGAUUGGGAUAAGGUUGUUUUCAGCCAUGGAGUUGAUAAGGAAGGCCACGCUGUCUGUUACAAUGUUUUUGGCGAGUUUCAAAACAUGGAAAUUGAUUGUUAUGUUUGUUAUUGAUUGUUUUCGAUAUUUUCAUAUUAUGGAUCAUCUCAUUCUAUAUUGUGUUUCUUAUGCUUAACAUUUCAUAUGAUGAUACAUAUGAGUGACAUUAUUACAAUUUUGAAAUUGAAUGAUGAUAUAUGUACUAAUUAAUUUCAAAUAUUGCAGAGAUGGUUUGCAUCUGACUCUCAGUGGAAACCGGAUUGUGUUUGAUGAAGUGGUGAGGAAGCUGAUGGAGGAAGGCCUGAGCGUAGAUACCCUACGAAUCAAUCUCCCCUUUUGAGCAUUAAAUAUUUGUAUCUGCUUACAAUACGGGUCCCUGGAUGUCUCAUUUUGAUGGGUUAAUGAUUUGUUGCGAUCACAAAUAUAUAGUCACAAAUACAUGUGGUGUGGGUAUACAUUAGCCAACUUAAUUUUUAUCUUACACCUACUAUUGGUUAAACCCAUUGAUCUAAUAUUUUGAAGCUAAAACUUUUUUACAUUAAAGAAUUA